CCUACGGGUGGCCGCAGUGGGGAAUAUUGGGCAUUGGGCGCAAGCCUGACCCAGCAACGCCGCGUGAAGGAAGAAGGCUUUCGGGUUGUAAACUUCUUUUGUCAGGGACGAAGCAAGUGACGGUACCUGACGAAUAAGCCACGGCUAAGAACGUCCCAGCCGCCCCGGUAAUACUUAGGUGGCAAGCUUUAUCCGGUUUUCUUGGGGGAAAGGGCGUUUAGGCGGGAAGACAAGUCAGAUGUGAAAACCACGGGCUCAACCUGUGGCCUGCAUUUGAAACUGUAGUUCUUGAGUACUGGAGAGGCCGACGGAAUUCCUAGUGUAGCGGUGAAAUGCGUAGAUAUUAGGAGGAACACCAGUGGCGAAGGCGGUCUGCUGGACAGCAACUGACGCUGAGGCGCGAAAGCGUGGGGAGCAAACAGGAUUAGAUACCCCUGUAGUC
rnacentral:rRNA from 1 species